AAACACAGCGAUUUUUAAGCUAUAGUCGCUAUAUUUGAAGCUACAUGAUUUGGAAGCUAUUUUAGCGGACUCAUCUACAACUUCGUCCGAUAGAAACGUAAUAGCUGAUGUUAGCGAUAUUCGACAGAUACUCAAUAUACACAAAGACACAUAAAUGAUUUUGAGUGACCACAUCAUAUGGUUUGAUACGUUGCAAGCUUCUUCAACCGCAGCAUGUUUGGUGAUUCGCAUUUACACGGCUGGCACAUUGAGGUUGCUGCUUAUGUACUAUGAAGCAUUAACAAUGUUACGAAGCACUUUGUUUUGGAACCGCUGGAUACACAUAGUUGCGCUCCAUAUGGUCAAACAGCUUUGAACAUUUGGUUGUAUAUAAGAAAUUUGCAGUGAAUUGAAAGGAAUGCAUUUCUACCCGUAAGCCAUAGAAGUUUUGCAUCAAGUGUCAAACCUAAAUUGCGGUGUUUGAAUAUUGAACUCGGUUUCGAUGACCGAAUUAGGAGACAUAGAAGUAUCGCAUGUGUAUAACAAAUAUAGUAUCGGUGCUAAUAUGCUCCCUCCCUUUGCCAGCAUUGAUGGACUUUAACUCAGAGUACUAAUUUUGGAUCUUUACAUGGAUAUAAAACACUCAGUAAGCUCAUAAUGAUGUAUACUUUUUCUUAUAAUAACCGCUCUCCCGCUCCGUGCAUUGAUGUUUGGAUGUAUAGUUUGUUUCAUAUAAUAAUUUGUGGUAUGACCAAAAGUCUGGCAUAUUUUACAUUAUGGGAUAGUGUCUUACUUCGUAUUAUUUCAAUUUGUAAUUUGUUUCAAUUUGACACCGUGUACGUAAUUAUUCCCUAUUGCUAUGCUCUUAUAGACAUUUCAAUAAACUGAAACA